UUCCGGUUGAUCCCGCCGGACCUGACUGCUAUCGGAUUGAUACUAAGCCAUGCGAGUCAUUGUAGCAAUACAAGGCAGACGGCUCAGUAACGCGUAGUCAACCUAACCUAUGGACGGGAAUAACCUCGGGAAACUGAGAAUAAUGCCCGAUAGAACACUAUACCUGGAAUGGUUUGUGUUCCAAAUGAUUUAUCGCCGUAGGAUGGGACUGCGGCCUAUCAGUUUGUUGGUGAGGUAAUGACCCACCAAGACUAUUACAGGUACGGGCUCUGAGAGGAGUAGCCCGGAGAUGGGUACUGAGACACGGACCCAGGCCCUAUGGGGCGCAGCAGGCGAGAAAACUUUGCAAUGUGCGAA
rnacentral:rRNA from 1 species